AUUUAUAUAGUAUAUAAUCUAUUACAUUUAAUUUCCAAUUAAAAAACUUAAUUUUCUAUUAAUAUAAAUA
rnacentral:tRNA from 1 species